rnacentral:rRNA from 1 species
GGGAUUGCCUCAGUAACGGCGAGUGAAGCGGCAAUAGCUCAAAUUUGAAAUCUGGCCCCUUCGGGGUUCGAGUUGUAAUUUGUAGAGAGUGUUUCGGGUGAGGCCGCGGUCUAAGUCCAUUGGAACAGGGCGUCAUAGAGGGUGAGAACCCCGUAUGUGACCGUGGAUCGAGCCCAUGUGAAGCCUCUUCGACGAGUCGAGUUGUUUGGGAAUGCAGCUCAAAAUGGGUGGUAAAUUUCAUCUAAAGCUAAAUACUGGCUGGAGACCGAUAGCGCACAAGUAGAGUGAUCGAAAGAUGAAAAGCACUUUGGAAAGAGAGUGAAACAGUACGUGAAAUUGUUGAAAGGGAAGCGCUUGCAACCAGACCUGCCCGUAGGCGAUCAGCCGCUGUUCUCAGUGGUGCACUCGCUCUGCGAUCAGGCCAGCAUCGGUUUCGGCGGCCGGAUAAAGGCCUUGGGAAUGUAGCUCCCUUUUGGGGGAGUCUUAUAGCCCUUGGUGCAAUGCGGCCAGCCGGGACCGAGGACCGCGCUUCGGCUAGGAUGCUGGCGUAAUGGUUGUAAGCGACCCGUCUUGAAACACGGACCAAGGAGUCUAACAUCUAUGCGAGUGUUUGGGUGUUAAACCCAUGCGCGGAAUGAAAGUGAACGGAGGUGAGAACCCUUAAGGGCGCAUCAUCGACCGAUCCAGAUGUCUUCGGAUGGAUUUGAGUAUGAGCAUAGCUGUUGGGACCCGAAAGGUGCGUUUAAACUCCCCGUCCCGUCUACUUUAUGGAUUUUUAAGCUAACAUAUUUGAUAGAUGGUGAACUAUGCCUGAAUAGGGUGAAGCCAGAGGAAACUCUGGUGGAGGCUCGCAGCGGUUCUGACGUGCAAAUCGAUCGUCAAAUUUGGGUAUAGGUAAGCGAGCGAACAAUUAUAUCAUUACUCGGAUAGAAUGCUAAUUUUUUUAGGGGCGAAAGAC